UACAGAGGGUGCAAACGUUUGUUCGGAAUUACUGGGCGUAAAGCGUGUGUAGGCGGCCUCGUAGGUCGGAUGUGAAAGCUCUCGGCUCAACCGGGAAAGUGCAUUCGAAACCACAAGGCUUGAGUGUCGGAGAGGAAGGCGGAAUUGUCGGUGUAGAGGUGAAAUUCGUAGAUAUCGACAGGAACACCUGCGGCGAAAGCGGC
rnacentral:rRNA from 1 species